rnacentral:rRNA from 1 species
UACGUAGGGGGCAAGCGUUGUCCGGAUUUAUUGGGCGUAAAGAGCUCGUAGGUGGUUCGGUAAGUCGGAUGUGAAAUCUCCAGGCUCAACCUGGAGGGGUCAUUCGAUACUGCCGUGACUAGAGUGCGGUAGGGGUAGAGGGAAUUCCCGGUGUAGCGGUGAAAUGCGUAGAGAUCGGGAAGAACAUCGGUGGCGAAAGCGCUCUACUGGACCGCAACUGACACUCAGGGACGAAAGCUAGGGGAGCGAAUGGG